rnacentral:misc_RNA from 1 species
GAAAGAGCUACAAAUCUAGGACCAUUGCCGUUGGUACUAGGAGCAUAAGAAUGGGAUGGCCUGACCUUCUAAUCUACGAGGCCUCUCUGCUUAAAGACCUCCAGCAUCGCUGUGCCAAUCUUCGCUGGGGACUCCACCACCGUCACGCCUGCUUCUCUCAGAGUUUUAAUUUUGUCCUGUGCGGUGCCCUUACCGCCUGAAACAAUUGCUCCAGCAUGACCCAUGCGACGACCUGGUGGGGCAGUAAGUCCAGCUAUAAAUGCAACGAUAGGCUUCUCAGUUUUACUCUCCUUUAUUAAAGCUGCAGCAUCUUCUUCUGCUGUACCACCA